rnacentral:rRNA from 1 species
AGAGUUUGAUCCUGGCUCAGGAUGAACGCUGGCGGCGUGCUUAACACAUGCAAGUCGAACCCGGAAAUACUUUAUUGAAACUUCGGUGGAUUUAAUUUAUUUCUAGUGGCGGACGGGUGAGUAACGCGUGCUGUAACCUGCCUUAUACUGGGGGAUAACAGCCAGAAAUGACUGCUAAUACCGCAUAAGCGCACAGAACCGCAUGGUUCGGUGUGAAAAACUCCGGUGGUAUAAGAUGGACCCGCGUUGGAUUAGCUAGUUGGCAGGGUAGCGGCCUACCAAGGCGACGAUCCAUAGCCGGCCUGAGAGGGUGAACGGCCACAUUGGGACUGAGACACGGCCCAGACUCCUACGGGAGGCAGCAGUGGGGAAUAUUGCACAAUGGGGGAAACCCUGAUGCAGCGACGCCGCGUGAAGGAAGAAGUAUCUCGGUAUGUAAACUUCUAUCAGCAGGGAAGAUAAUGACGGUACCUGACUAAGAAGCCCCGGCUAACUUGGUGCCAGCAGCCGCGGU